rnacentral:rRNA from 1 species
UACGUAGGCAGCGAGCGUUGUUCGGAAUUACUGGGCGUAAAGAGUGUGUAGGCGGUGCUCUAAGUUCGGUGUGAAAUCUCCCGGCUUAACUGGGAGGGUGCGCCGGAAACUGGAGUGCUCGAGCGUGGGAGAGGAAAGCGGAAUUCCUGGUGUAGCGGUGAUAUGCGUAGAUAUCAGGAGGAACACCGGUGGCGAAGGCGGGUCUCUGGGCCGAUACUGACGCUGAGGAGCGAAAGCGUGGGGAGCGAUCCGG